rnacentral:rRNA from 1 species
GAUGAACGCUAGCUACAGGCUUAACACAUGCAAGUCGAGGGGCAGCAUGGAAGAAGCUUGCUUCUUCUGAUGGCGACCGGCGCACGGGUGCGUAACGCGUAUCAAACCUGCCUCAUACUCGGGGAUAGCCUUGCGAAAGUAAGAUUAAUACCCGAUGUUGUUAUGUUACCGCAUGGUGAUAUGACCAAAGAUUUAUCGGUAUGAGAUGGUGAUGCGUCCGAUUAGGUAGUAGGCGGGGUAACGGCCCACCUAGCCUUCGAUCGGUAGGGGUUCUGAGAGGAAGGUCCCCCACACUGGAACUGAGACACGGUCCAGACUCCUACGGGAGGCAGCAGUGAGGAAUAUUGGUCAAUGGACGGAAGUCUGAACCAGCCAAGUAGCGUGCAGGAUGACGGCCCUCCGGGUUGUAAACUGCUUUUAGUUGGGAAUAAAAAAGAGGACGUGUCCUCUAUUGUAUGUACCUUCAGAAAAAGGACCGGCUAAUUCCGUGCCAGCAGCCGCGGUAAUACGGAAGGUCCAGGCGUUAUCCGGAUUUAUUGGGUUUAAAGGGAGCGUAGGCGGAUUAUUAAGUCAGUGGUGAAAGACGGUGGCUCAACCAUCGUUAGCCAUUGAAACUGGUAGUCUUGAGUGCAGACAGGGAUGCUGGAACUCGUGGUGUAGCGGUGAAAUGCUUAGAUAUCACGAUGAACUCCGAUCGCGAAGGCAGGUGUCCGGGCUGCAACUGACGCUGAGGCUCGAAAGUGUGGGUAUCAAACAGG